GUAUAAAUUUAAGGUUCCUUGGAUGGUUUUCUGUGAUGGGUGCACAGCUAUUGCCUCAAGAAAUUUCAAGGCUUAAGUUAAUUUAGCAUUAUCCAGGCACCAGAUGGCAAAGUGCUCAGGAGGACAUCAAUAGGAGAAAUGUCACUGGAGAUACCUGAAUGAAGAAGCAUGUGGGGAAAUUUUAUGUUUCUUGCCAUCAUUUCCAGAAGUACCAGUUUACAAGUCUCUCCUUUGUGUUCAAUAAAUCCACAGAAACACCCCAUCUUCAUGGGAAGCCGCACCAGGGGCUUGGAGACAUGUGUGACCAGCACCAGAGCCAC